rnacentral:misc_RNA from 1 species
GAACUGCGAUAAGUAAUGUGAAUUGCAGAAUUCAGUGAAUCAUCGAGUCUUUGAACGCACAUUGCACCCCCUGGCAUUCCGGGGGGCAUGCCUGUCCGAGCGUCAUUGCUGCCCUUCAAGCCCGGCUUGUGUGUUGGGUCGUCGUCCCCCCCGGGGGACGGACCCGAAAGGCAGCGGCGGCACCGUGUCCGGUCCUCGAGCGUAUGGGGCUUUGUCACCCGCUCGAUUAGGACCGGCCGGGCGCCCGCCGGCGUCAAACCCCAAUCUUUCUAAGGUUGACCUCGGAUCAGGUAGGGAUACCCGCUGAACUUAAGC